GUAGGUGGCGAAGCGUUGUCCGGAAUUAUUGGGCGGUAAAGACGCGCGCAGGCGGGGUCCGUUUAACGUUCUGAUGUGAAAGACCCACCGGGCGUCAACCGUGGAGGGUCAUUGGAAACUGGGGGACUUGAGUACAGAAGAGGAAAGCGGAAUUCCACGUGUAGCGGUGAAAUGCGUAGAGAUGUGGAGGAACACCAGUGGCGAAGGCGGCUUUCUGGUCUGUAACUGACGCUGAGGCGCGAAAGCGUGGGGAGCAAACAGGAUUAGAUACCCUGGUAGUCCACGCCGUAAACGAUGAGUGCUAAGUGUUAGGGGGUUUCCGCCCCUUAGUGCUGCAGCUAACGCAUUAAGCACUCCGCCUGGGGAGUACGGCCGCAAGGCUG
rnacentral:rRNA from 1 species